UUAUAAUUAUUGUGACUUCAGUGACUUCAGUUCUGAUUCUAAUAAAUCUGAUUCCGACAGCUCAGUGUAAGCAAACACCUCUGAGGAUUUAUCAGAAACAUCAAUGGAUAAAAAACAAGGUAAUAAACAAUCAUUUUAAUGCCUUAUGACUACUGCGACUUGAGUUCUGAUUCUGAUAAAUCUGUAUCAGACUUGAAUAGCUCAGUUUAAACACCUCUCAUGACCUAUCGGAAACAGAGCUGGAGAAACAAAACAAGGUAAUCAAAAGUUUUAAUACCUUUUUAUAGUGUUGGUGGAAAAAAAAAUGUUUAUCAUUUCAGACGAUGUACCAAAAGAAAUCUCUGAAGAUGUUCAAAGGGAAGCUGAAUUGGAAGUCGUAGAUGAUGAAAAAUUAUAAACUCUCGCAAAGUCUCGAAAACUCUGGAAAAGUUUCAAACUUUACAUUAAUUUCAAAAUAAGUGAAAGUUGAAGAAAUGGAAGGAAGUGAAUUGGAGAAUUGGAGAAUCUUUGUGAAAAAUGUGGUUUGAAGCAGGAUUCAACAAAUUCUGCUUGUGUUAAAUCGAACACUAAUCUCCCUUCAGAUGAUACCGAGGAACAGCAAGUAUUGGAAGUCAUGAAUGAAGACGGAGGAAAGCAAGGUAACUUAAAAUUCUUUUGCUCUAGAUUUCAAGUAAUUUCAGUUCAAAAUUAUUCUUUUCUUUUCUAGAUUUACCAGAACUGACUUUGGAAAUUGGUGAAGCACUCGAUGAAUUUGAAAAACUUUAUGAUGACAAAAUCAUUCUGAAACGAAAUGUGAAGGAAGACUACAGGAUUGAAUUUGCGAAAAAAGCCAAACUGGAUAGCAUGAACGCUA